UCAAAGGAAUUGACGGGGACCCGCACAAGCGGUGGAUGAUGUGGAUUAAUUCGAUGCAACGCGAAAAACCUUACCUACCCUUGACAUGGCAGGAAUCCUGAAGAGAUUUGGGAGUGCUCGCAAGAGAACCUGCACACAGGUGCUGCAUGGCUGUCGUCAGCUCGUGUCGUGAGAUGUUGGGUUAAGUCCCGCAACGAGCGCAACCCUUGUCAUUAGUUGCUACGAAAGGGCACUCUAAUGAGACUGCCGGUGACAAACCGGAGGAAGGUGGGGAUGACGUCAAGUCCUCAUGGCCCUUAUGGGUAGGGCUUCACACGUCAUACAAUGGUACAUACAGAGGGCUGCCAAACCGCGAGGUGGAGCUAAUCCCAGAAAGUGUAUCGUAGUCCGGAUUGGAGUCUGCAACUCGACUCCAUGAAGUUGGAAUCGCUAGUAAUCGCGGAUCAGCAUGUCGCGGUGAAUACGUUCCCGGGUCUUGUACACACCGCCCGUCACACCAUGGGAGCGGGUUCUGCCAGAAGUAGGUAGCUUAACCGUAAGGAGGGCGCUUACCACGGCAGGGUUCGUGACUGGGGUGAAGUCGUAACAAGGUAGCCGUAUCGGAAGGUGCGGCUGGAU
rnacentral:rRNA from 1 species